rnacentral:rRNA from 1 species
UGGGGAAUUUUGGACAAUGGGCGAAAGCCUGAUCCAGCAAUGCCGCGUGUGUGAAGAAGGCCUUCGGGUUGUAAAGCACUUUUGUCCGGAAAGAAAUCCUUGGCUCUAAUACAGUCGGGGGAUGACGGUACCGGAAGAAUAAGCACCGGCUAACUACGUGCCAGCAACCGCGGUAAUACGUAGGGUGCAAGCGUUAAUCGGAAUUACUGGGCGUAAAGCGUGCGCAGGCGGUUUGCUAAGACCGAUGUGAAAUCCCCGGGCUCAACCUGGGAACUGCAUUGGUGACUGGCAGGCUAGAGUAUGGCAGAGGGGGGUAGAAUUCCACGUGUAGCAGUGAAAUGCGUAGAGAUGUGGAGGAAUACCGAUGGCGAAGGCAGCCCCCUGGGCCAAUACUGACGCUCAUGCACGAAAGCGUGGGGAGCAAACAGGAUUAGAUACCCUGGUAGUCCACGCCCUAAACGAUGUCAACUAGUUGUUGGGGAUUCAUUUCCUUAGUAACGUAGCUAACGCGUGAAGUUGACCGCCUGGGGAGUACGGUCGCAAGAUUAAAACUUAAAUGAAUUGACGGGGUCAUAGCUGUUUCCU